ensembl:lncRNA
UUCGACUCCUCUUCAAUGGCUGUGCGAAGUUGCUGGAUGUUGGCGGGAACAAGAACAUGCUGUUAUACACGUCAAUCCAGUGCUCAAUGGGUGGCAUGUCUGGUGAGUAUGCAUGCCAUGGAAGAACUGGGACAUUUUCAGCUUUCAGGAACUGUGUACAGAUUCUUGUGACGUGGGACCGUUCAUUAUCAUGCUGAAACAUGAGGUGAUGGUGUCGGAUGAAUGGCACGACAAUGGGCCUCAGGAUCUCGUUGUGGUGUCUCUGUGCUUUCAAAUUACCAUUGAAUUCAUCAGAUGGUGCCAGAGAGAUGGUGGAUGUUUUACUUCCUCCUAACAGAUUGUGUUUUUAUGUUAGUUUUUUUUAACGUUAUUUGUAACUACAUUUUUUACUUCUUUUGUACAUAACGCUGCUGAUACCGUCUCUUAUGACCGAAUAUAACUUCUGGACAGCGAACUGGCGUCGUGGUAAGACAAGCGGUGGCGGACUAUGCAUAUAUGUAAACAACAGCUGUUGCACGAUAUCUAAGGAAGUCUCAAGGUUUUGCUUGCCUGAGACCGAUGCUGGCAUUAAGACCGCACUCAAUGAGCUGUAUUCCGCCAUAAGCAACCAGGAAAACGCUCAUCCAGAGGCGGCGCUCCUAGUGACCGGGGACGUUAAUGCAGGGAAACUUAAAUCUGUUUUACGAAACUUCUAUCAGCAUGUUAAAUGUGCAACCAGAGGGAUAAAAAUUACUAGCGGCGUGACCACCUUUACUCCACACACAGAGACGCAUCUCCCUCACCCUCCAUUUGGCAAAUCUACCCUCCUAAAGCAGGAAGCACCAGUGACACGAUCAAUAAAAAAGUGGUCAGAUGAAGCAGAUGCUAAGCUAAAGGACUGUUUUGCUAGCACAGACUGGAAUAUGUUCCGGGGUGGCAUUGAGGAGUACACCACAUCUGUCAUUGGCAACCAGACGCCAUGGAUUACAGGCAACAUCCGCACUGAGCUAAAUGCUAGAGCUGCUGCUUUCAAGGAGCGGGACUGUAACCCGGAAGAUCAUAAGAAAUCCCGCUAUGCCCUCCGACGAACCACCAAACAGGCCAAGCGUUAAUACAGGACUAAGAUCGAAUUGUACUACACCGGCUCCGACGCUCGUCGGAUGUGGCAGGGCUUGCAAACCAUUACAGACUACAAAGGGAAGCACAGCCGAGGGCUGCCUAGUGACUCGAGCCUACCAGAUGAGCUAUACUACUUCUACGCUUGCUUCGAGGCACAUAACCCUGAAACAUGCAUUAGAGCACCAGCUGUUUUGGAUGACUGUGUGAUCACGCUCUCCAUAGUCAAUGACCAUGCCUCAGGACUACCUGGC